rnacentral:rRNA from 1 species
CACUCCUACGGGAGGCAGCAGUGGGGAAUUUUGGACAAUGGGCGAAAGCCUGAUCCAGCAAUGCCGCGUGAGUGAAGAAGGCCUUCGGGUUGUAAAGCUCUUUUGUCAGGGAAGAAACGGUGAAAGCUAAUAUCUUUUGCUAAUGACGGUACCUGAAGAAUAAGCACCGGCUAACUACGUGCCAGCAGCCGCGGUAAUACGUAGGGUGCAAGCGUUAAUCGGAAUUACUGGGCGUAAAGCGUGCGCAGGCGGUUUUGUAAGUCUGAUGUGAAAUCCCCGGGCUCAACCUGGGAAUUGCAUUGGAGACUGCAAGGCUAGAAUCUGGCAGAGGGGGGUAGAAUUCCACGUGUAGCAGUGAAAUGCGUAGAUAUGUGGAGGAACACCGAUGGCGAAGGCAGCCCCCUGGGUCAAGAUUGACGCUCAUGCACGAAAGCGUGGGGAGCAAACAGGAUUAGAUACCCGGGUAGUCCC